rnacentral:rRNA from 1 species
GACGAACGCUGGCGGCGUGCUUAACACAUGCAAGUCGAACGGAAAGGCCCUGCUUUUGUGGGGUGCUCGAGUGGCGAACGGGUGAGUAACACGAGAGUAACGUGACCUUGACUUUGGGAUAACUUAAGGAAACUGGGGCUAAUCUCGGAUAGGAGCUCCUGCGGCAUGGUGGGGGUUGGAAAGUGUCGGCGGUUGGGGAUGGACUCGCGGCUUAUCAGCUUGUUGGUGGGGUAGGGGCUUACCAAGGCUUUGACGGGUGGGCGGCCUGAGAGGGUGACAGGCCACGUUGGGACUGAGAUGCGGCCCAGACGCGUACAGGAGGCAGCAGUGGGGAAUAUUGCACAACGGGCGGAAGCCUGAUGCGGCGGCGCCGCGUGCGGGAUGACGGCCUUCGGGUAGUAAACCGCUUCCGCCUGUUACGAAGCGUGAGUGACGGUAAUUGGUAAAGAAGCACCGGCUAACUACGUG